AACGAACGCUGGCGGCAGGCCUAACACAUGCAAGUCGAGCGGGUCCUUCGGGACUAGCGGCGGACGGGUUAGUAACGCGUGGGAACGUGCCCAAAGGUACGGAAUAGCCUCGGGAAACUGAGAGUAAUACCGUAUGUGCCCCUCGGGGGAAAGAUUUAUCGCCUUUGGAUCGGCCCGCGUUGGAUUAGGUAGUUGGUGGGGUAAUGGCCUACCAAGCCGACGAUCCAUAGCUGGUUUGAGAGGAUGAUCAGCAACACUGGGACUGAGACACGGCCCAGACUCCUACGGGAGGCAGCAGUGGGGAAUCUUAGACAAUGGGGGAAACCCUGAUCUAGCCAUGCCGCGUGGACGAUGAAGGCCUUAGGGUUGUAAAAUUCUUUCACCGGGGACGAUAAUGACGGUACCCGGAGAAGAAGCCCCGGCUAACUUCGUGCCAGCAGCCGCGGUAAUAC
rnacentral:rRNA from 1 species